GAUGAACGCUGGCGGCGUGCUUAACACAUGCAAGUCGAACGAUGAAGCCCAGCUUGCUGGGUGGAUUAGUGGCGAACGGGUGAGUAACACGUGAGUAACCUGCCCUUAACUCUGGGAUAAGCCUGGGAAACUGGGUCUAAUACCGGAUAGGAGCGUCCACCGCAUGGUGGGUGUUGGAAAGAUUUAUCGGUUUUGGAUGGACUCGCGGCCUAUCAGCUUGUUGGUGAGGUAAUGGCUCACCAAGGCGACGACGGGUAGCCGGCCUGAGAGGGUGACCGGCCACACUGGGACUGAGACACGGCCCAGACUCCUACGGGAGGCAGCAGUGGGGAAUAUUGCACAAUGGGCGCAAGCCUGAUGCAGCGACGCCGCGUGAGGGAUGACGGCCUUCGGGUUGUAAACCUCUUUCAGUAGGGAAGAAGCGAAAGUGACGGUACCUGCAGAAGAGGCACCGGCUAACUACGUG
rnacentral:rRNA from 1 species